rnacentral:rRNA from 1 species
AUUGCACGCUGGCGGCAGGCCUAACACAUGCAAGUCGAACGAGUGGCGGAAGGGUGAGUAAUGUCUGGGAAACUGCCUGAUGGAGGUGGAUAACUACUGGAAACGGUAGCUAAUACCGAAUACAAUCAGAUGUGCCCAGAUGGGAUUAGCUCGUGGGUGGGGUAACGGCUCACCAAGGCGACGAUCCCUAGCUGGUCUGAGAGGAUGACCAGCCACACUGGAACUGAGACACGGUCCAGACUCCUACGGCAGGCAGCAGUGGGGAAUAUUGCACAGUGGGCGCAUGCCUGAGGCAGCCAUGCCGCGGGUAUGAAGACGGCCGUCGGGUUGUAAAGUACUUUCAGCGGGGAGGCGUUACACGCAGAAGAAGCACCGGCUAACUCCGUGCCAGCAGCCGCGGUAAUAC